AGAAGGAACGAGCCCAUUGGUCAAUGUCCAGUGCGACCUUUCACCUAGAACCAGACUGGGAAGUGUGGCUUGUCCUAGGGAAGUGUGAGGUUAGCUUGGCGUCGCUGGGGCAGGUAAAGGAAUGCCCUCUGAAAACGCCGCAGGUAGCAAAGCCCAGUGAACCGUCCUUAAUUUCACUUCUUUAAUAGCGAAAAUAAGAUGGAAUUCAGCCUUUUCCGCCUUAGCCUGGCCCUUGAAGAAUUUGCUGGAGAUGUCUCUAUUCUGCAGGAGAUUAAACCAAGAUGAGAGACGAAAAGUAACUCAUCAAAAGUCCAACACUUACUCAGAGGUUAAGCCCGGGAGAUUCUAAUUGCCCAUCAAAGACUGUGUCUGCUAAGGACUAGAAUGACACAGAGAGGACUGGGCAAAGGACUGUCGGAGCCAGACUGGGGCACUGCCCGGGAACAUUCCCUCUUCUCUCCUGGCCCUGCACCUACCCUGAAGCUGCAAUCAGAACAGGAAUUAAGCUCCUAAAAUGCCAUGGAAAACUGGUUUCUAGAGAGGACCUGGGAAAAUGGGGCCCAUUUUCCACAAUUUUGGGGGAAUCCUGAUUAUUUUUUCGCUUUUUUUUACUCUUUCCACUUUGCCCUGAUAACCACCCAGUUAUGUGAAGCUUCAGCACAGCGCAUGGGGGGAGAGGCAUCUCAGAUUCUGAGAGAAACCGGAACUUCUAGCCUGAAGACCAGGGAAGGUGGCAGAUUCUUAGGAGAAGAGGCACCUAUGGUGAGCUGGGCCUGCAGGGAGCACGCCCCGGAUACCAGCGUGGGCCCUGUGCCACCGGGGCCGAGUCACCCCCACAGAUGCUGAGACAGAACUGCACUCUGAACUUACUAGUAAUGUUCUCACAGACUUACACACUGGUCUGUCAACCUCAAUCUUUCAGUGCUGGUAAGACUGACUAUGAAACCCCAUCCAGUAAAGGCAGCACAUCCAUCACUAGCUUUAUCCGAAGUUUGGAAGGAGAAAACAAAUUUGAACAAGCAGAGGUCAAGUGGAAGAAGGCCAGCGAUCCGGAGUGUUUGCAGACCUGCCAUGCUCUGGCUUUUAGUUCUAAGAACAAGUUUACUUCUGCAAAUAAAUCUAUUAUUCUUUUGCAUUUUCCGUUUUUCCUAUGUUUUCUAUGUUAGAGACUAAAUUUUUUGUCUCAAAGGUAAACAUAAACAAGUGAAGAUCAGCUUUCAGCCCUGGGUGUGGCUGGAGGAAGGAGGUGCUAAUUCAGCAUGAGUUCCAGCAAGAGCAUAGGCCCAGCCAGACC